GUCGAGAAUAAUUCACAAUGGACGAAAGUCUGAUGGUGCAACGCCGCGUGGAGGAUGACGGUCUUCGGAUUGUAAACUCCUGUCAUCCGGGAGUAAGACCUGGCUGUGAAUAGCAGACAGGGUUGAUAGUACCGGAAGAGGAAGGGACGGCUAACUUCGUGCCAGCAGCCGCGGUAAUACGAAGGUCCCGAGCGUUGUUCGGAAUCACUGGGCGUAAAGGGAGCGUAGGCGGCGUGGUAAGUCAGAUGUGAAAUCCCGGGGCUCAACCCCGGAACUGCAUCCGAUACUGACGUGCUAGAGGAUUGGAGAGGUAGCUGGAAUUCUUGGUGUAGCAGUGAAAUGCGUGGAGAUCAAGAGGAACACUCGUGGCGAAAGCGAGCUACUGGACAAUAUCUGACGCUGAGGCUCGAAGGCCAGGGUAGCGAAAGGGAUUAGAAACCCUUGUAGUCC
rnacentral:rRNA from 1 species